UCCUGCGGGACGGGCGCGUCGCCAUCCUGGUGGAGACACGUGAAACUUGUUUUGGCGAAACAGAACUUCCUGAUUUGAGGGCAGAGGGGCGGUGUCUGUCGGAGGCUUUUUGAAGGGAGUUAAAGGAACACACGCCCUUCCGCAGACCCCGAAUUCGGCCCCGGAGAGAUGGAAAGAGAGGAAGAAAGACAGGGAGAGGAGCAUCGAUGUGAGAGAGAAACACGGGAAUUAAGUAAGUGCUACACUGACAAGCACAGAAGAGCCCCUGGCGAAGUGAAGCGUGUCACUUCCACACUGUCCCUGCCACUCAGGAGCACGCCUUGCACCUUUCACUGCGUGUACUGCUGAGCAGGUGUCAGAGGUUAACCAAGCCGGGCAUCAGAACGUGGACGACACUGUAACCGACGGAGCUCCCGGCCAAGGCUAGAAUCUCUCGAAUACGAAUACGUGCCCGACUGACUGCAGCACUGGGCAGCCACGGGGUCUUGAGCAGCGGGUGCCCCAGAGCCGCCGUCCCGCCCGUUCUUUAUUGCUUCCUU